GGGUUGUGAGGUUAAGCGACUAAGCGUACACGGUGGAUGCCCUGGCAGUCAGAGGCGAUGAAGGACGUGCUAAUCUGCGAUAAGCGUCGGUAAGGUGAUAUGAACCGUUAUAACCGGCGAUUUCCGAAUGGGGAAACCCAGUGUGUUUCGACACACUAUCAUUAACUGAAUCCAUAGGUUAAUGAGGCGAACCGGGGGAACUGAAACAUCUAAGUACCCCGAGGAAAAGAAAUCAACCGAGAUUCCCCCAGUAGCGGCGAGCGAACGGGGAGCAGCCCAGAGCCUGAAUCAGUGUGUGUGUUAGUGGAAGCGUCUGGAAAGGCGCGCGAUACAGGGUGACAGCCCCGUACACAAAAAUGCACAUGCUGUGAGCUCGAUGAGUAGGGCGGGACACGUGGUAUCCUGUCUGAAUAUGGGGGGACCAUCCUCCAAGGCUAAAUACUCCUGACUGACCGAUAGUGAACCAGUACCGUGAGGGAAAGGCGAAAAGAACCCCGGCGAGGGGAGUGAAAAAGAACCUGAAACCGUGUACGUACAAGCAGUGGGAGCACGCUUAGGCGUGUGACUGCGUACCUUUUGUAUAAUGGGUCAGCGACUUAUAUUCUGUAGCAAGGUUAACCGAAUAGGGGAGCCGAAGGGAAACCGAGUCUUAACUGGGCGUUAAGUUGCAGGGUAUAGACCCGAAACCCGGUGAUCUAGCCAUGGGCAGGUUGAAGGUUGGGUAACACUAACUGGAGGACCGAACCGACUAAUGUUGAAAAAUUAGCGGAUGACUUGUGGCUGGGGGUGAAAGGCCAAUCAAACCGGGAGAUAGCUGGUUCUCCCCGAAAGCUAUUUAGGUAGCGCCUCGUGAAUUCAUCUCCGGGGGUAGAGCACUGUUUCGGCAAGGGGGUCAUCCCGACUUACCAACCCGAUGCAAACUGCGAAUACCGGAGAAUGUUAUCACGGGAGACACACGGCGGGUGCUAACGUCCGUCGUGAAGAGGGAAACAACCCAGACCGCCAGCUAAGGUCCCAAAGUCAUGGUUAAGUGGGAAACGAUGUGGGAAGGCCCAGACAGCCAGGAUGUUGGCUUAGAAGCAGCCAUCAUUUAAAGAAAGCGUAAUAGCUCACUGGUCGAGUCGGCCUGCGCGGAAGAUGUAACGGGGCUAAACCAUGCACCGAAGCUGCGGCAGCGACGCUGAUGCGUUGUUGGGUAGGGGAGCGUUCUGUAAGCCUGCGAAGGUGUGCUGUGAGGCAUGCUGGAGGUAUCAGAAGUGCGAAUGCUGACAUAAGUAACGAUAAAGCGGGUGAAAAGCCCGCUCGCCGGAAGACCAAGGGUUCCUGUCCAACGUUAAUCGGGGCAGGGUGAGUCGACCCCUAAGGCGAGGCCGAAAGGCGUAGUCGAUGGGAAACAGGUUAAUAUUCCUGUACUUGGUGUUACUGCGAAGGGGGGACGGAGAAGGCUAUGUUGGCCGGGCGACGGUUGUCCCGGUUUAAGCGUGUAGGCUGGUUUUCCAGGCAAAUCCGGAAAAUCAAGGCUGAGGCGUGAUGACGAGGCACUACGGUGCUGAAGCAACAAAUGCCCUGCUUCCAGGAAAAGCCUCUAAGCAUCAGGUAACAUCAAAUCGUACCCCAAACCGACACAGGUGGUCAGGUAGAGAAUACCAAGGCGCUUGAGAGAACUCGGGUGAAGGAACUAGGCAAAAUGGUGCCGUAACUUCGGGAGAAGGCACGCUGAUAUGUAGGUGAAGUCCCUCGCGGAUGGAGCUGAAAUCAGUCGAAGAUACCAGCUGGCUGCAACUGUUUAUUAAAAACACAGCACUGUGCAAACACGAAAGUGGACGUAUACGGUGUGACGCCUGCCCGGUGCCGGAAGGUUAAUUGAUGGGGUUAGCGCAAGCGAAGCUCUUGAUCGAAGCCCCGGUAAACGGCGGCCGUAACUAUAACGGUCCUAAGGUAGCGAAAUUCCUUGUCGGGUAAGUUCCGACCUGCACGAAUGGCGUAAUGAUGGCCAGGCUGUCUCCACCCGAGACUCAGUGAAAUUGAACUCGCUGUGAAGAUGCAGUGUACCCGCGGCAAGACGGAAAGACCCCGUGAACCUUUACUAUAGCUUGACACUGAACAUUGAGCCUUGAUGUGUAGGAUAGGUGGGAGGCUUUGAAGUGUGGACGCCAGUCUGCAUGGAGCCGACCUUGAAAUACCACCCUUUAAUGUUUGAUGUUCUAACGU
rnacentral:rRNA from 1 species